ensembl:lncRNA
AUCGAAGAGGCAGCAAUCGCCCCCAGUGACCAGAGGACCUUUGUGGAUCUAAGUGACUCCCAAGAGCUGCUGAAAAAGGCCUCCGCGUCCGAAGGGCCUAAGGCCGGAAAGGGGUCGGGCGCCACUUUGAAGGAAAGUGCUCCCGGGAGCGACGCACACACAGUGAAAGCAUCCUUGUUUGAAAAUGUUGUGGAGAGGCACUCUGUGCUGCUGGUGGAGGACAGCAAGCCCGUGAACCAGGCUAGUGAGUCGCUGAGAAGAACGCCCUUUAAGAGCGAACGCGGUAAGGACGACGGAACGAUUGUCACUGCCGCCCAGCAAGAGCCUCUAUCUCCAUCAAGUCCUCUGAGGGUCACACACGCCUUUGACACUGUGCAGGCUGUGGAAGAGAGCAGGGCAGUGAGCGAGGACAUCCCGUCAGCCCAGCGGGAGGAUAAGGCCAUGACGCUGCGCUCCAGGCGCUCCGAGGGGGCCGGAUCAGCACUUGGCGAACCAGCCUCGGCUCCGAUGCCGGAACAGCAGCCUCGAGUUCUGAGAGUUGGCGCUUUGCAAAAGUGGACCUCCGAAGGUCCCGAUACGAGUGUGGAGAAAGGGGCGCUCAAGGAAUGGCAAAGGGAAGGACAAGGGGCUUUGAACGAAGACCGGGCAAGGCAGCCGGAAGCUGAACAGGAAGAAGUGGCGGCGGCUCCUAAACGCUUGAAAAUGCUGCAGUCAGAAGAGCAGCCGAAACCCAGGGCCACCUACUUUGCUCUGACCGGGCAAAUGCAGGAGCCGGCUUCUCCUGUUGACGGAGGACCAAGCCUCCUGGACUUUGACGAUUUCUCCGUGAGGUCCGCACUAGGAGGCUCUCCAGGGAAGCUUCUUACAACAAGGAGGAAUCCAUCAUUAGAUAAAGCGUUUGAAAAAAAACUCCCAAGAUCAGGUUGAGGACUUGAUGAUGAGGGACCACAUUUCCCAAAGAGGGAUAAGAUCCACUUUGGACGGACCGGCAGCAGAGGAAAUCAUGCAGGAGGAAAAGCGACGACAACUACAGAAAGAGACGGAACGGCACAUGGCAAAAAUGAACGAGCUUUUUCUGAGGGAAAAACAGAGGCUGCUGGAAGCGGACCAGGAAUCACGUUUGGAGUUUGCACAAAUGAAGGAGAGGGAAAUGCAAAGAGAAUUUGAAAGGCAAAGACAGAAAGCUUUUGAGAAGGAGAAACGGGAGUUCGAGGAGCAACAACGUGCACUGGAAAGGCAGAAACAGUUGGAGCUUGAACAGUGGCAGAAACUGCAGGAGCUGGAGAGACUGAGGGAGAUCGAAAAGGAGCGGCAGCUACAACAUGAGAAAGAAAAACGACAGAAAAUGGAGAGACAGAGAAUGAUGGAGAGGGAGAAACUGCAAGAGCAGGAAAGGGAGAGACAGCGGGAACAGGAGAGGCAGCGGGAACAGGAGAGGCAAAGACAAAGGGAGGAAGAGAGGCAAAGUGAGCUGGACAAGGAAAAACUGUUGCUGGAAGUGCAAAGGGAGAACCAGAGGAGAAUUAAAGAGCAGGAAAGACUACAACUAUUAGAGUUUGAAAAGCAGAUGCAGAAGGAAAAGGAGACACAGCAGCUCAUGGCGCUCGAGACGCAGAGAAUAAGAGAGAAGACGGAGAGGGAGGCCGAGAAAAUGAAACAGAUGGCAUUAGAACAGGAGCUUUUAAGAAUGAAAGAGCUUGUUAAAGAAAGGGAAAGACAAAAGGAGAUGGAAAAGGAGCAUCGGCGAGAGGUCGAGAGAGAAAAGCAGAGAGAGCUGGAGAGACAGAGACAGAGAGAUUUAGAAAGGGAGAGACAGAGACAACUCGAUAAUGAGAGACGGGAAUUAGAAAACCAGAGGCUGAGGCAACGGGAAGUGGAGAAGGAAAGGCAGAGGAAAGUGGAAUUGGAGCAAAUCAAAGAGAUGGAGAGAAGACGGCUCUUGGAGUUGGAAAAGCAAAAGCAAGCCGAGAGGGACCGACAGCACAUUUUGGAGGCGGAGAAGCGCAGAUUGAGGGAGAGUGCGGAAAGGGAGGAGGCAGAUAAAAUGAGGCACGUAGCCAAGCAGCAGGAAGGGGAGAGGCAGCGGCUAAAAGAGAGGCAGGAGAGGGCGAGGAUGGAGUCGUCGCCUCUCAGGCCUCAAGUGUUGGAUCUGGACUCCGUGCGCCGAAACGAGUCGUUCUCCAAGGCCCCCUCUCAGCGCAGCGACCCCGCGACUCGUUGGAAGGAGCCGUCUGCGCGAGGGGAAGCGCCUUACCGACCCGCCAUCCUCGACAUAGACUCCUUCACGUCUCAAGUUCAGCCCUCUCCCAGCAAAGACCCGUUUGCCGUUUCUGGUAUUCAGGGAGUGGACGCGGCGUUCGGAGCUAGAUCACACCCGCCUACGCCGGACGUAGAUGUCAGCUGGAGGCUGCCGCAACUGACCCCGGGCAUCACGAGCCCAGUGUGGACGACGUCUCUCCAGGACCCGUGGGAGCUCCGGCCCGUUGAGAUGUCCGCGGACAAACCUGUGGCGCUGACCAGAAGAAGUAGCACCAAGAUCAGCCCCGAGCAGCUCCUCCUCAGGCAGGGGGAGCGGCUCCUGGCUCCACAGAGGCCCUCCAGCAGCGCUCCCGAGCAGCAGAUAUGGCAGCCGCCGCAGCAGCAGCAGCCGCAGCAGCAGCAGCAGCCGCAGCACCAACCGCAGCCUCAGCAGCAGCCGCAGCAGCAGCCGCAGCCUCAGCAGGCUCCGGACAGCAGGGGAGAGGUGCUCGCCCAGAGGAGAUCACAGGGUUCUCAGGAGUUAAACAGGAUGCGGUCUCGCAGUGUUUCCCGGCGAUCGGCACCUUCGAGCGGUGUUUUGGAAAGAAGCCUUUCCAGGAUGAGGAGUCGCAGCGCCCACCGCGAACAGGACGGCACCAGCUGGGUGAGUCUGACUGCCGCUCGGCCUCUGCGAACGUUCGACAGGGUUGCAGGAGAGAUGUGA